GCAGCAACAGUCAUGUAAUGGAGAACACUAUCCUUGAUGUUCUACAGCUUCAUCAUUUUCACUUUUCUCCUUUUGCAACGCGUGUCGAGACGUCGACGUUGAGGUCGCAGGAACUAGCCACGUCAUCUGGAGACCAGCGACAACUGCGUCAUGAAGCGAGAGGCAUCAGGAAGCGGUUCGACUAUGAAGACAAUUACGACUGGGAAACUGACAAGAAAAGUUUGGACUAUGAGGUUGAGGACAAGGAGGAAACUCUGUUUCAGAAGAUGGCACGGAACUGGAAGACCGUCCUGCUUCGCUUCAUCUUCCUUUUCUCCUUCCUCUGCAUGGUCCUGUUCUGCUGCCGUUGCUGCUGUCGUCUCAUCUGCCCCUUCAUCUGCGAUGCCUGCACCACCAACUGCGACCAAUGUAUGGAGUGGUUCGCCCUGUACGUCUGUGGCAAUGAUCCGGCCGAAUGGUACAGUACGUUCAUUGUAUAAGAGACAGCUCUACCGGAUUUGACUUCUUCUGGUGUGAAGGUGGUCACAGGAAGGACCCCCGCAGUUUUUCUGGCCAGUAAUGGACGCGCAAGAUACAUUGAUCUUCGAGUUUCUGACUACUUGCUGUCGGACUCACUCCAUGGCAAAAAUAACCUUAAUGCUGCCGAUGUUGCCAUGACGAUCUCCCCGUAUCAGGGAACUCUAGGCAGCUGAAGCAAGGUGACGGUGUGUUAUGCAGGUACUGUCUGAAUGGGUUUGGUCUGACUUCUUCCUGUUUCUCAUAAACCGCGCGUGACGUCGGUGUUUCAUCAGCUGUUGGCCACUGUAGCUGCAGCACGGCGGAAUAUUCUGUAUGAAAAACUGUUAGACCACUUGUCAUUAAACCAGUUC
rnacentral:misc_RNA from 1 species